ensembl:lncRNA
GUAGAAGAGCUGGAAGGACCUUGCCAAGCAGCGAACUUGUUGAAAGCUUGAACAAGUUUUAGUGUUUGUUUCUGUCCCCUGCUCCAAAAUACAGACUGUGCUGUCUUUGGUGUACAUAUACUUCCCAAGAGAGUAACAGUUACAGUAAUGUUGUAGGCUGAUGCCUUACUUCAUAUUUGUUUUCCUUCUUUGGGGUUUGAAGGGAUUGUAUUAAACAUACAAGAUGAGAAAUCAACAUCUGUACCUGCUUCUUCAUUCUGCUGUAGACUUCGUAUGUGACCUAGGACAAGUUAUUUUUUAACUCCUACUUACCGGUCCGGUUAAUUUAGAGUGGAUUGACAAGGAUGUAAAGGCUCUUCUGCAUGGUAUGGCUCCUGCUGUAGGGCUGAUUUUGUUUGAGAUCUUCUGACAUUUGAGAACAAGUGAUCAAGAACAGCAUCUCAACAGAUUUUCUGUGCUAAUGAGGCAGCCCAGCAGUGCAUAUGUGCAUUUUGUACAAAAUAAUUCACUCUGGGAUAAUGUUUUAAUCAUUCUGCAAAGGCUUCUGUGGGCUGAUGUCCCACAGUGUUGGCCUGUAGAAAAAUGUCUGGGUAUUUUUGCAGCUUGUUACCAUUUCAAGGGAGGUUUACAAUUGAGCUGAGGCUGCUGCCUUGCUGAGCUGCCUCACGGGGCACAGAGUUAAGAAGAUCAUGCUAGUUCUUUUCCACAGGAAUACAGAUGUGCCCAGGCUUUGUUGUGACUGCUGUUCUGUUCAUCACUUGCCUCUGCUGUAAAACACUGGUGGGAAGGAGCUGACUUUGUAUGAUCAAAGGGGACAUGUUUGGCUGUGAUUGGAUAUGCUGUUACCACCUCUGGCUUUAUUUGUUCUUCCUGCAAUCUCUGCUAAGAGUAGCAGCAACUCAGUUCUAAUUACCUGACUUAUACCACCAACUUCCUGGGAGCCCAAACAUGACCCAUCUGAAGAAAACCUCAGAACAGCAACAGUUAAAUAAGGAGAUGGUUUAUGGUGCAAUAGUAGCCAGCAAGGUUCAUCUGUGCAAUUCCUCUGAAAUCAUCAGCAAAGCCCUGGAGCUCCUGACAGGAAACUCCCUGCAGCCUGUCCUGCUGCCCUCUGCUAAGUGUCCUCAUUUGCUCACAGAGGAAGCAGAAAUUUUCCCUCCAGGUGACUCAUUUCUCCAGAAAGGGAAGAGAUGGAAGUAGGAUGUGAGAAGUGUAUGACCAACAUCAUCUGCAGGGAGAAAUAAGUAUGGGCUAUCUGGGCUUACUUCAGCUUGGCUUUUCAUGUGUAAAUAUAGGUGUUGGGAGAGAUAUUGGAGAAGUUUAGUUAUCUUCUAAAAAUUAUUCUGAUUUUGUACGCAUGGAAAAAGUAAGAAUAUUGGGCCAGGUUUUUACAUGGGCUUUGAUUUCAGUGGAGCUAUACUGAUUGUUGUAAUAUCAGUAUUGUAUUUCUGUAAAUUUAAAACACUAACUGGAGCAUUAUUACCAGGUUGUUGUUUUUAUUAUUAAUUGAUUUUAUUAAAUCUCCUCUAAAAACAUUCCGUGAUGGUGUUUCUCUUUGUAUCCUUCACUAGUGAAGUUUAGAAUAACUAUGUUGGUUAAUUGCCAACAAGGACGGGGUCAUCCCCCUGCAGCCUGGAACUCUGUGUGUGUGUGUACAAGCUUGUGCUACUCAGGGGACAGCUGAAUCAAACUUGAUGCCUGUGGGGCACCUCUUGUGCUUGUCCUCAGUCUGGCCAGUGGCAGAAUCCAGAUGCUGAGUGUUUUGCAGUCCAACUGAAGGCAGAAACCUCCUUUUCUUAUAGCAGUGCUUGUCCUACCUUCAGGAUCCUCUUCUAAUCCUCUGAGGUUAUGUGGAGUCUUUCAAAUCAUGUGAGCGGGCUUCGAGUCUUUCAGAUCACAUAAGUGAGCUUUGGGUUUGGCCUGUAUAUUAAAACUCAAAUGCGAAAUCAGCCUGCCUAACCUUUAUAUGUGACCCUCAUUAUAUUUUAUGUAAAAUGUGUACCACUAUCUUGACUAUCAAGUGUUAUCAGUCUGCAGUGGUCAGUCUUCUGUCUCCAAUGAUAUGCAUGGGAAAUAAGCAGCUUUCUCAAUAGAAGCCCCUGAAUCUCAUAUAGCUUUUUGUCAUGACAGACACUUAGAGAAAAGCGGCAUUAAUUCUGCAUGUUUGCAUUUGAACAGUGAACAUCACAUCUUCAUUUAAAACUUGUACUGCUGAGAAGCUGUGCUUUGGCAAGAGAGACACCACUCUUCUAGACUAACUCUAGCUGGAGCUCACAGAAGCUGCUCUGAUGGAGAAAUGAAGCUGCUGGGAUGAAAACGCAAGCAGAAUCUUUGCUAUUUUCUUUCAAUAACAAAUUUACUUUUGAUAAAACCAGAGGCCUCUUGGUUUUAUUAAAUGCACCUCUCUGUUCCUUGGGAUGGAGGUAUAGCAUCUGCUGUGACAGUUUCUAUCUUGAUUUUUGACUUCUCUCUAAUUAGUUUAUGUUCCAGUAAAUCCUUUGUACUACAACUGCUUUAAGAAUAAUUGAAAAUAAAACAAAAAUAGGAGCUUAAAUUGCUUAUGGC